GAUGAAGAACGUAGCGAAAUGCGAUAAGUAAUGUGAAUUGCAGAAUUCAGUGAAUCAUCGAAUCUUUGAACGCACAUUGCGCCCGCCAGUAUUCUGGCGGGCAUGCCUGUCCGAGCGUCAUUUCAACCCUCGAACCCCUCCGGGGGGUCGGCGUUGGGGACCUCGGGAGCCCCUAAGACGGGAUCCCGGCCCCGAAAUACAGUGGCGGUCUCGCCGCAGCCUCUCCUGCGCAGUAGUUUGCACAACUCGCACCGGGAGCGCGGCGCGUCCACGUCCGUAAAACACCCAACUUCUGAAAUGUUGACCUCGGAUCAGGUAGGAAUACCCGCUGAACUUAAGCAUAUCAAUAAGCGAGGA
rnacentral:misc_RNA from 1 species